ACGAACGCUGGCGGCGUGCUUAACACAUGCAAGUCGAACGGAAAGGCCCUGCUUUUGUGGGGUGCUCGAGUGGCGAACGGGUGAGUAACACGUGAGUAACCUGCCCUUGACUUUGGGAUAACUUCAGGAAACUGGGGCUAAUACCGGAUAGGAGCUCCUGCUGCAUGGUGGGGGUUGGAAAGUUUCGGCGGUUGGGGAUGGACUCGCGGCUUAUCAGCUUGUUGGUGGGGUAGUGGCUUACCAAGGCUUUGACGGGUAGCCGGCCUGAGAGGGUGACCGGCCACAUUGGGACUGAGAUACGGCCCAGACUCCUACGGGAGGCAGCAGUGGGGAAUAUUGCACAAUGGGCGGAAGCCUGAUGCAGCAACGCCGCGUGCGGGAUGACGGCCUUCGGGUUGUAAACCGCUUUCGCCUGUGACGAAGCGUGAUUGACGGUAAUGGGUAAAGAAGCACCGGCUAACUACGUG
rnacentral:rRNA from 1 species